rnacentral:tRNA from 1 species
GCGAUCGUGGUGAAGAGGUUAACACAGCGGGUUGUGGUUCCGUCAUACGCGGGUUCGAAUCCCGUCGAUCGCCCCA